rnacentral:lncRNA from 1 species
UACAGUAUGUCAAUAGAUGGUUCUCCAGUGGGAGUAGUGUACAUGAUCCUUUGAUCUGAGAUCACUAUGGUACCUUAUGUAUAUAGAUCCUUUGGUUAAUUAUCUAUUACAUCAUUUUGAGAUGUGUGUGGGAUAUUCUGGGUAUGGUGAAGUGUGCAUGGAGGUUAUGAGUGAUCUCGUAGGAAGAUGACUCUGAGAGUCUCUGGC